rnacentral:tRNA from 1 species
GGAGAGAUGGCUCAGUGGUGAAGAGCACUAGUUGUUCUAGAGGUCCUGGGUUCACUUCCCAAUAUCCACA